rnacentral:rRNA from 1 species
GAGUUUGAUCAUGGCUCAGAUUGAUCGCUGGCGGCAGGCCUAACACAUGCAAGACGAGCGAGAAAGUUCCUUCGGGAGCGAGUAGAGCGGCGGACGGGUGAGUAACGCGUAGGAAUUUGCCCAGUAGUGGGGGACAACAUGUGGAAACGCAUGCUAAUACCGCAUACGCCCUAUGGGGGAAAGCAGGGGAUCUUCGGACCUUGCGCUAUUGGAGAAGCCUGCGUCGGAUUAGCUAGUGGGUGGGGUAAAGGCCCACCAAGGCGACGAUCCGUAGCUGGUCUGAGAGGAUGAUCAGCCACACUGGGACUGAGACACGGCCCAGACUCCUACGGGAGGCAGCAGUGGGGAAUAUUGGACAAUGGGGGCAACCCUGAUCCAGCCAUGCCGCGUGUGUGAAGAAGGCCUUAGGGUUGUAAAGCACUUUCAGUAGGGAGGAAAAGUUAGUCGUUAAUAACGGCUAACCCUGACGUUACCUACAGAAGAAGCACCGGCAAACUCCGUGCCAGCAGCCGCGGUAAUACGGAGGGUGCGAGCGUUAAUCGGAAUUACUGGGCGUAAAGCGCGCGUAGGUGGUUUAGUAAGUUGGAUGUGAAAGCCCCGGGCUUAACCUGGGAAUUGCAUUCCAAACUGUCUGACUAGAGUACAGUAGAGGGUGGCGGAAUUUCCUGUGUAGCGGUGAAAUGCGUAGAUAUAGGAAGGAACAUCAGUGGCGAAGGCGGCCACCUGGUCUGAUACUGACGCUGAGGUGCGAAAGCGUGGGGAGCAAACAGGAUUAGAUACCCUGGUAGUCCACGCCGUAAACGAUGUCUACUAGCCGUUGGGAGACUUGAUUUCUUAGUGGCGCAGCUAACGCAUUAAGUAGACCGCCUGGGGAGUACGGUCGCAAGAUUAAAACUCAAAUGAAUUGACGGGGGCCCGCACAAGCGGUGGAGCAUGUGGUUUAAUUCGACGCAACGCGAAGAACCUUACCAACUCUUGACAUCCUGAGAAUUCGCUAGAGAUAGCAUAGUGCCUUCGGGACUCAGAGACAGGUGCUGCAUGGCUGUCGUCAGCUCGUGUUGUGAAAUGUUGGGUUAAGUCGGAUAACGAGCGCAACCCUUACCCUUAUUUGCCAGCGAUUCGGUCGGGAACUAUAAGGGGACUGCCGGUGAUAAACCGGAGGAAGGUGAGGACGACGUCAAGUCAUCAUGGCCCUUACGAGUAGGGCUACACACGUGAUACAAUGGGAGAGACAGACGGACGCUAAGCCGCGAGGUGGUGCUAAUCCUAGAAACUCUCUCGUAGUCCGGAUUGGAGUCUGCAACUCGACUCCAUGAAGUUGGAAUUGCUAGUAAUCGCGGAUCAGCAUGCCGCGGUGAAUACGUUCUCGGGUCUUGUACACACCGCCCGUCACACCAUGGAAGUGGAUUGCACCAGAAGUAGAUAGUCUAACCUUAGGGAGGGCGUUUACCACGGUGUGCUUCAUGACUGGGGUGAAGUCGUAACAAGGUAACC